ACAGCAAGUCAUAGAACCUCUUGGAACCCCAGUUUCCACAUCUGGAAGAAGGGGCAGAAUAGUAUCAAAAAUGCUUCACUCCCAGGAAUGUGGUGAGCAUAAAAUUAAAUAAUGAAAAAGUCAACUAUAAAGCACUAAAUAAAUAUAAGAUGGAGUCUCACUCUGUCGCCCAGGCUGGAGUGCAGUGGCACCAUCUCGGCUCACUGCAACUUCCGCCUCCCAGGUUCAAGAGAUCCUCCUGCCUCAGCCCCACUAGUAGCUGGGAUUACAGGGAAAUCUAUUAUGGGAUGGCCUGGAUAUAUCACUUUAAAAAUCCUGCUUUUAAUGAACAAAUGAGAAAAGACCAAGAAAUUGAGCUACAGUGAGGUCACACAGCCGAGAAUCACACAGUGAAGAGUUGGGAUUUGAGCCUGGAAUACUCUGACCUCAGAGUCUGGAUGCUAGUCUCUUGCUGCCUCCCCUGUGUUAUGAGGUCAUGUCUAAAUCACCUCCGUUACUGAAAAUGCUUGUGAAAGACCUAUUCUGCUGGAUAGAGCAGUCACCUUAGUCAAAUAUGAUCCAAAUGUUGCCAUUAGGUCCUACCCAACCCCAUCAAAGAUCAGAACCUGGAGGUGUGGUAACUCCCUCCAGUCCAGAAAAAAAAAAAAAAAAACAAACCCAGUAGGUCAGAGUAAGGAGCUGCUCUGAGCCAUCAGUGGGAGGGUUAAGUUAAAGAAUAGAAAGAUGUAACCUGACCCAAAACUUAGCUCUCAUUUUCAACAGGCAAGAGCUCCUUGCAGGGUGACCUUGACUCAGACCCACAAUUUCAUCUUUUUUUUUUGUUUUCUUUUUGGAAUGGCAAUAACAAUGUCUGCCCAGCAUCCACCACUUUAAGUUGGUGUUUACAAUAGAACUGACACAGCCCUUUAAGCAGGCUCUUGCGUGCAGAGUUAACUCUCCCCUUGCACACAGAGCAGAUCGUCAGGCUCCCUCCAGCCCCAGGACCUUUCUCUAACCAUAAAAAGGCAAUUGUACCUCUAAACCCCAAAUCCUUACCUAUCCCUGCUGCACCCAGCUGUGCAAGGUGAGUCCUAGGAGGUCACAUCCCACAUGAUUCCACGUUUUCUCAUCAGUAUCCUUUGCUAGUUCCAGAUAUUGCAACAUCACUACUGUUCAAGAUUAGAACUUAAGAACUUGAAAAGGUCAAGAAAGAUGUGGUGCCUUGUCUCCACAUCAAGUAAACAGUCCGUGGCAUUGGCCUCUGACAAAUGACAACAGACUCACGGGGCAGCAGUUGAGGAGCUGUGCUUACAUGAUACUUACCAUCCUGAGAAGCAUGGAUGUAUGGGGAUACCCAUACCCUGGUAACCCAACCCCAUGGGCUCAGACAGUGUUGAACACUAGAGAAUCUUCAUCAUUUGCUCAGCUGUCACCACUUCCACAGAUGCAAGAAAUGGCCGAUGGUUCUAGAGGAUGACCCCAGCCUCUCAAAUAGAAAAGGGAGUGUGUUAGAUGUCAUCCAGCCAGUCGUAUAGAAAGGUGGACUUUAAGAAACUGUGGUUAAUGUUGGAAGGAAACAUAAGGCAGCUUUUAAAGCUAUUUUCAUAGUCUUCAAAGAGAAAUAAAUGACCAGCGCCGACGGCUGCAGACAGCAGGACAGGCAGCCUGAC
rnacentral:lncRNA from 1 species